rnacentral:rRNA from 1 species
UACAGAGGGGGCAAGCGUUAUUCGGAAUUACUGGGCGUAAAGGGCGCGUAGGCGGAUACUUAAGUUGGGGGUGAAAGCCCGGGGCUCAACCUCGGAAUUGCCUUCAAUACUGGGUAUCUUGAGUUCGGGAGAGGUGAGUGGAAUGCCGAGUGUAGAGGUGAAAUUCGUAGAUAUUCGGCGGAACACCAGUGGCGAAGGCGACUCACUGGCCCGAUACUGACGCUGAGGCGCGGAAAGCGUGGGGAGCAAACAGG